CCCUUCGAUGUUCGGGGCCGCACGCGUGCUACAAUGGUCGGAUCAGCAAGAGGACCGGAACGACGCAUCGGCGUCGGUCUCGGUCGGCGCAAGCCGGCGCGAGAUGGUCCGCGGGCCGAGAGGCUCGUGAAACCAAGAGAAACCCGAUCGUAGUCGGGACAGAGGCUUGAAAGUAUUUCUCUCGAACCAGGAAUUCCCAGUAGGCGCGAGUCAUCAUCUCGCGUCGACUGCGUCCCUGCCCUUUGUACACACCGCCCGUCGCUACUACCGAUCGAACGUUCUAGCGAGGUCGUCGGAUCGAUCGAACGCCGGCCUCCGGGUCGGCGCCGGCCGCGAAAGUGAUCGAACUCGAGCGUUUAGAGGAAGUAAAAGUCGUAACA
rnacentral:rRNA from 1 species